rnacentral:rRNA from 1 species
UACGUAGGGGGCAAGCGUUGUCCGGAUUUAUUGGGCGUAAAGAGCGUGUAGGCGGUUUGGUAGGUCCGCUGUGAAGACUCGAGGCUCAACCUCGAGACGCCGGUGGAAACCAUCAGACUAGAGUCCGGAAGAGGAGAGUGGAAUUCCUGGUGUAGCGGUGAAAUGCGCAGAUAUCAGGAAGAACACCCGUGGCUAAGGCGGCUCUCUAGUACGGUACUGACGCUGAGACGCGAAAGCGUGGGGAGCGAACAGG